rnacentral:rRNA from 1 species
AGUGAACGCUGGCGGUAGGCCUAACACAUGCAAGUCGAACGGCAGCACAGUAAGAGCUUGCUCUUACGGGUGGCGAGUGGCGGACGGGUGAGGAAUACAUCGGAAUCUACUUUUUCGUGGGGGAUAACGUAGGGAAACUUACGCUAAUACCGCAUACGACCUACGGGUGAAAGCAGGGGAUCUUCGGACCUUGCGCGAUUGAAUGAGCCGAUGUCGGAUUAGCUAGUUGGCGGGGUAAAGGCCCACCAAGGCGACGAUCCGUAGCUGGUCUGGGAGGAUGAUCAGCCACACUGGAACUGAGACACGGUCCAGACUCCUACGGGAGGCAGCAGUGGGGAAUAUUGGACAAUGGGCGCAAGCCUGAUCCAGCCAUACCGCGUGGGUGAGGAAGGCCUUCGGGUUGUAAAGCCCUUUUGUUGGGAAAGAAAAGCAGCAGGUUAAUACCCCGCUGUUCUGACGGUACCCAAAGAAUAAGCACCGGCUAACUUCGUG